ACAAAACCAACCCCCAUGUUGUUUUUUGACGUGGGUACAACGUUUUAGCGCUCUUCGCUCAUUGGAUGACUCACUUUUGGAGAACCAAUUAGCACGAGCAAAACUGAGCCAAUCAGUAGCAAGUAUAUUCCCUAAAAAAGGAUAUAAGCACGAGAGCUCUAGGAUCAGCAUCAGUUGCUUUCAACGCAUUGCGAAGGAAGGACGCAAAAUGGAAACCUCCAAGCUCAUUCAAUCUUCCGCCAUUCUUGGCACAUUUCUUUCAUCAACAGGCCGUGCCCUGCAUCUAGACAUGUAUAAAUUGGGUUGUGAUGUAUGCCAAUUUAGUAAAGAGAUGGGUGCCACACUAGGGAGAAUGUGCAGAUGAGACUGGCUUUAACAGCUCUGAUGAACGAUGCCGAAGAAGCCGAGAAACCAUUAGAUUUGAAGUUGAGCGCUCUAUCCCAGGAACAGAAAAAUUUAAGCAAGUGGCUGAACUUCCACACUGAUAUGUUCAGCAUCAGACUGAACAGCAUGGAGAGCCAAGCUCACAAAGCAUCACAGAGCCGUAGAUACAGAAGAUGAAGUAUUGAGCCAGAGCGCCCAUGAACUUUGCAUCAGCGAAUUUUUAAAUCAUAUUAAAACAGUUAAAUAUGUUCUAAUAAAGUAUUGUUGUUUGAAA